rnacentral:rRNA from 1 species
AUGAACGCUGGCGGCGUGCCUAAUACAUGCAAGUCGAGCGAACAGAUGAGGAGCUUGCUCCUCUGACGUUAGCGGCGGACGGGUGAGUAACACGUGGAUAACCUACCUAUAAGACUGGGAUAACUUCGGGAAACCGGAGCUAAUACCGGAUAAUAUAUUGAACCGCGUGGUUCAAUAGUGAAAGACGGUUUUGCUGUCACUUAUAGAUGGAUCCGCGCCGCAUUAGCUAGUUGGUAAGGUAACGGCUUACCAAGGCAACGAUGCGUAGCCGACCUGAGAGGGUGAUCGGCCACACUGGAACUGAGACACGGUCCAGACUCCUACGGGAGGCAGCAAUAGGGAAUCUUCCGCAAUGGGCGAAAGCCCGACGGAGCAACGCCGCGUGAGUGAUGAAGGUCUUCGGAUCGUAAAACUCUGUUAUUAGGGAAGAACAAAUGUGUAAGUAACUAUGCACGUCUUGACGGUACCUAAUCAGAAAGCCACGGCUAACUACGUG